rnacentral:rRNA from 1 species
AUACGGAGGGUCCGAGCGUUAUCCGGAAUCAUUGGGUUUAAAGGGUCCGUAGGCGGGAAUCUAAGUCAGUGGUGAAAUCUUGCAGCUCAACUGUAAAAUUGCCAUUGAUACUGGGUUUCUUGAAUUAGUGUGAAGUGGUUAGAAUGUGUAGUGUAGCGGUGAAAUGCAUAGAUAUUACACAGAAUACCAAUUGCGAAGGCAGAUCACUAACACUAUAUUGACGCUGAGGGACGAAAGCGUGGGGAGCGAACAGGAUUAGAAACCCGGGUAGUCC